CUGGCGGCAGGCCUAACACAUGCAAGUCGAGCGGUAGAGAGGUGCUUGCAUCUCUUGAGAGCGGCGGACGGGUGAGUAAUGCCUAGGAAUCUGCCUGGUAGUGGGGGACAACGUUUCGAAAGGAACGCUAAUACCGCAUACGUCCUACGGGAGAAAGCAGGGGACCUUCGGGCCUUGCGCUAUUAGAUGAGCCUAGGUCGGAUUAGCUAGUUGGUGAGGUAAUGGCUCACCAAGGCGACGAUCCGUAACUGGUCUGAGAGGAUGAUCAGUCACACUGGAGCUGAGACACGGUCCAGACUCCUACGGGAGGCAGCAGUGGGGAAUAUUGGACAAUGGGCGAAAGCCUGAUCCAGCCAUGCCGCGUGUGUGAAGAAGGUCUUCGGAUUGUAAAGCACUUUAAGUUGGGAGGAAGGGUUGUAGAUUAAUACUCUGCAAUUUUGACGUUACCGACAGAAUAAGCACCGGCUAACUCUGUG
rnacentral:rRNA from 1 species